rnacentral:rRNA from 1 species
GACGAACGCUGGCGGCGUGCCUAAUACAUGCAAGUCGAGCGGAAGUUGGAGAGCUUGCUCUUCAACUUUAGCGGCGGACGGGUGAGUAACACGUGGGCAACCUGCCCUGCAGAUCGGGAUAACUCCGGGAAACCGGUGCUAAUACCGAAUAGUUUUCGCCACCUCCUGGUGGCGUACGGAAAGACGGUUUCGGCUGUCACUGCAGGAUGGGCCCGCGGCGCAUUAGCUAGUUGGUGGGGUAACGGCCCACCAAGGCAACGAUGCGUAGCCGACCUGAGAGGGUGAUCGGCCACACUGGGACUGAGACACGGCCCAGACUCCUACGAGAGGCAGCAGUAGGGAAUCUUCCGCAAUGGACGAAAGUCUGACGGAGCAACGCCGCGUGAGUGACGAAGGUUUUCGGAUCGUAAAACUCUGUUGUGAGGGAAGAACAAGUACCAACUAACUACUGGUACCUUGACGGUACCUCACCAGAAAGCCACGGCUAACUACGUGCCAGCAGCCGCAGUAAUAC